UUGCAAGCCUUCUGGCAUGCUUGGGUCAAGGGUGACUCAGUGCAUUCCUGCGGUGCUUACUAGAAUGUUCUGCAGUGUUUGGAGGCUUUGCCCCAUCCCUUCCGCAGAGCAUGGUCAUAGACAUUUCAGACAGUC